rnacentral:rRNA from 1 species
GACGAACGCUGGCGGCGUGCCUAAUACAUGCAAGUCGAGCGGACGGAUGGGAGCUUGCUCCCAGACCGUCAGCGGCGGACGGGUGAGUAACACGUGGGCAACCUGCCUGUAAGACUGGGAUAACUCCGGGAAACCGGGGCUAAUACCGGAUAACUCUUUCCCUCACAUGAGGGAAAGCUGAAAGAUGGCAUCUCGCUAUCACUUACAGAUGGGCCCGCGGCGCAUUAGCUAGUUGGUGAGGUAACGGCUCACCAAGGCGACGAUGCGUAGCCGACCUGAGAGGGUGAUCGGCCACACUGGGACUGAGACACGGCCCAGACUCCUACGGGAGGCAGCAGUAGGGAAUCUUCCGCAAUGGACGAAAGUCUGACGGAGCAACGCCGCGUGAGUGAUGAAGGUUUUCGGAUCGUAAAACUCUGUUGUCAGGGAAGAACAAGUACCGGAGCAACUGCCGGUACCUUGACGGUACCUGACCAGAAAGCCACGGCUAACUACGU